rnacentral:tRNA from 1 species
GGGAAGAUGGCUCAGUGGUAGAGUGGAUGCCUUGCAAGCAUGAGGCCCUGGGUUCGAUUCCUCAGUACCA